UGGCGUUAAAAUGGUUAACGUAAGUUCGGAUGGAUUCUCCCUCCUUUUGCUUGAUGUUGAUGAGGGACUCCGAAUCUCUCUGGGGACGUCGGCUACUGAUGAAAUGAGCAACAAACUGAUGGCUCAUCUGAUCAAAGGAGAAGAUAGUUCCCGGCUUCAGUGCUGAGUACCAAUUUCUUGCUACUCUCUUUAAGGUAGACAGAAAAGCUUGGCACAGGAUGGU
rnacentral:lncRNA from 1 species